rnacentral:tRNA from 1 species
AUUCUAUUAGUAUAAAUAAAAUACAAUUAGCUUCCAUCUAAAAAAUCUUCAUGAUAGAAUA